ensembl:lncRNA
CAGUGACUGUCUGUGAGACCAGAAAUAGACAGCAUUUGUAGAACCAGACACCAUAUAUUUAGCCUGGGUCUAAGUAUGGCUCUGUGUCAGACCUUUAAAACACAUGCAUGGUCUGUCACAUCUGUAACAGUAUAGCUAGUUAUUCCCACAGAUGAGAAGUGGAGCCAUUCAGACAGUACUGUCUGGGACACAGUGAAUUAGAUGAGAAGUGGAUCCCAUUCUGAAAGUACUGUCUGGGACACCAUGAAUUAGAUGAGGAAGUGGAUCCAUUCUGAAAGUACUGUCUGGGACACAGUGAAUUAGAUGAGGAAGUGGAUCCAUUCUGAAAGUACUGUCUGGGACACAGUGAAUUAGAUGAGGAAGUGGAUCCAUUCUGAAAGUACUGUCUGGGACACAGUGAAUUAGAUGAGGAAGUAGAUCCCAUUCUGAAAGUACUGUCUAGGACACAGUGAAUUAGAUUAUGAAGUGGAUCCCCCAUUCUGAAAGUACUGUCUGGGACACAGUGAAUUAGAUGAGGAAGUGGAUCCAUUCUGAAAGUACUGUCUGGGACACAGUGAAUUAGAUGAGGAAGUGGAUCCCAUUCUGAAAGUACUGUCUGGGACACAGUGAAUUAGAUGAGGAAGUGGAUCCCCCAUUACGAAAGUACUGUCUGGGACACAGUGAAUUAGAUGAGAAGUGGAUCCCAUUCUGAAAGUACUGUCUGGGACACAGUGAAUUAGAUGAGGAAGUGGAUCCCAUUCUGAAAGUACUGUCUGGGACACAGUGAAUUAGAUGAGGAAGUGGAUCCCAUUCUGAAAGUACUGUCUGGGACACAGUGAAUUAGAUGAGGAAGUGGAUCCCAUUCUGAAAGUACUGUCUGGGACACAGUGAAUUAGAUGAGGAAGUAGAUCCCAUUCUGAAAGUACUGUCUGGGAAUUAGUGAAUUAACUCGGUGGACUCAUCAUUUCAUAAUGAUUGGCAGUGCUGUUUAUAGGCAGAUGGGCAGGAAGCAUCCGUUGAUAUUAGUGGCGUAGUUACUUACCCCUCUGCAUUAAAAACCCCGCAGAGAGAUUCUAGUGCAAAACCUCAGUCCUCACUAUCUAGGCUAUAAAAAGGCAAUAAACAACAUGAGCAUUCCUAGGCUUCGUUCCUAACGGUACCCUAUUCCCUAUGUAGUGCACUGCUUUUGAGCUGAGCUGUAUGCACCCUGGUCUAAAGUAGUGCACUACUACCCUAUAGACCCUGGUCUAAAGUAGUGCACUACUACCCUAUAGACCCUGGUCUAAAGUAGUGCACUACUACCCUAUAGACCCUGGUCUAAAGUAGUGCACUACGUAGGGAAUAUGAUGCCAUUUGAGGGGCUCCUCUAGUCUGGAAUCCCAAACACUGUUUGCAUAGACUAAAAUUAGUUCCAGAGAGUUUUCAAUAGUUUUCAAUCUCCUCUCUCUCUUUUCAGGAGAUUCAAUAGUUUUCAAUCUCCUCUCUCUCUUUUCAGGAGAUUCAAUAGUUUUCAAUCUCCUCUCUGUCUUUUCAGGAGAUUCAAUAGUUUUCAAUCUCCUCUCUCUCUUUUCAGGAGAUUCAAUAGUUUUCAAUCUCCUCUCUCUUUUCAGGAGAUUCAAUAGUUUUCAAUCUCCUCUCUGUCUUUUCAGGAGAUUCAAUAGUUUUCAAUCUCCUCUCUCUCUUUUCAGGAGAUUCAAUAGUUUUCAAUCUCCUCUCUGUCUUUUCAGGAGAUUCAAUAGUUUUCAAUCUCCUCUCUCUCUUUUCAGGAGAUUCAAUAGUUUUCAAUCUCCUCUCUCUCUUUCAGGAGAUUCAAUAGUUUUCAAUCUCCUCUCUGUCUUUUCAGGAGAUUCAAUAGUUUUCAAUCUCCUCUCUCUUUUCAGGAGAUUCACUAGUUGUGGACUUUGUACUUGUGCGUCAAUGUCAAAGUAUGUUUGACUCCAUGUACUUGGCGUCUGGUAUUAAAAAAAAGGCAGUUAACUUAACACCUUAAAUUGCCCCGUUGAAGCAAGUCGAUUGAAGCAAGUUGAGUGCUAGGUGCUGCUGGGUUCAGUUUGGAACCUUUCACCUGCUGAAUGCCUUAGGGCUUAACUGAAGCAUCCGUCUUCUAGGAAGAGAUAGAGAGAGACCAUGGUGGUGUCAACGAUGGCACCCUAUUCCCUACGUAGUGCACACAAGUAGUGCACCAUCAAGGGAAUAGGGUGCCAUUUGGGAUGCAUUGGGGUAACCCGUUAACACCAAACUCUAGAGGUUACUACAGGUCAGACCGUAUCUCAUUAACACCAAACUCUAGAAGUUACUACAGGUCAGACCGUAUCUCAUUAACACCAAACUCUAGAGGUUACUACAGGUCAGACCGUAUCUCAUUAACACCAAACUCUAGAGGUUACUACAGGUCAGACCGUAUCUCAUCAACACCAAACUCUAGAAGUUACUACAGGUCAGACCGUAUCUCAUUAACACCAAACUCUAGAAGUCCCUACAGGGAAAACAGGAAGUCAUAGGAAGUAGUGGGAAGUGCAGCCAAAGGAAAACCACUGCAAAUACUACUGUACCUCAGGGAGUAGUACACCGUUUAAACUUAAUAUCACCACAAAAUCAAUAGGCCGCAUCAAAGAAACAAAACAUUAAAAACAUUCAAAUUAAUCCCACUUGUAAGGCACAAUAAAAUGGACAAAGUUUAGACUCAUUUCAAAAACAAAUACUACUAAAAAAAAGAAAACAAAUAUCUCAGAAAACAAAAGUUCCUUGAGUACGGUGUCUUGGCAUUGGUUGUCUAGUGAAGAGAAGGGGAGGGGUAUCGACCAAUACAACUUUUACUGAUCCUGAUGCCUCCCACUAAACACAAUCCUGAUGCCCCUCCCACUAAACACAGCCUGAGGCAGCCUCUCAGAAGUACCAGGAUGGAAGAGCCUGAGGCAGCCUCUCAGAAGUACCAGGAUGGAAGAGCCUGAGGCAGCCUCUCAGAAGUACCAGGAUGGAAACUCUCUCUUUACUGUUAAGGAGAGAGCCUUGUGUGGCCCAACUAGUACUCUAUUCCCUAUGUAGUGCACUACUUUACACCAGGGCCCAAGGUGCUUUGGUCAAAAGUAGAGCACUAUAAAGGGAAUAGGGUGCCAUUUGGGAUGCAUUCAGGGAGGAGAAGGCAACGAACAGAAAGAGGUUUAAAAAGUCCCUGGUAGGCGGGCGGAUCAGGCCGUUCUGGCAUCUCAGCCCCUGUUAGAUGGACAGAGGGAGAGAGGUGUUCAGUCGUUGUGUUUAUCCGAGGCUGUGAGGGGGGGGCUCAUUCAGUAGUUGUGUUUAUCCGAGGCUGUGAGGGGGGCUCAUUCAGUAGUUGUGUUUAUCCGAGGCUGUGAGGGGGGGGGGCUCGUUCAGUCAUUGUGUUUAUCCGAGGCUGAGAAGGGGCUUGUUCAGUUGUUGUGUUUAUCCGAGGCUGUGAGGGGGG